GAAGAGUAGAGGACUUGGCCAGCUUGUGGUACACAUAGAGGACUUGCAGUUCGUGGAAAGUACAAAAAGGUUUAAUAUUAUCUCUAUCUGGACACAUACUUACCACUCAAAUUUUUGGAGAGGGUUCAAUACCAAGUCAAAGGUAUUUGGGACUUCUACACAAGCAAUAGAGUGUGGUGAAAUUAUUGGAGGUAAGGGGAGAAUAAUUUUCAAAUUUAUAGAUUAGUGGGCAAAAUUAUGGUCUACUUCUUUGCAAGAACAUCCUGCUCUUUGUUUGGUGGCUUCAUGUGGUUAGAGUUAGGUUUUUGAUGAAACUCUAAGUUGAAUCAUAUUUGAAAGUUACUUCCAUAUUAUCCUUCAUAUAUAGUUUACCCCACCUUUACCCUUUCAUGACUUCAUGUGUUCUCUUCUUCGAAGAGAUAACAGGCUGCUUGACCAGCUCCUAAGCUAAAAGAGAGUAAGAUUCAGUUCUACCCUGUUCUGCCUAACACAAAUAUCCUUGUCCAGAUUAAGAGCAAUUUUAUGUAAUUAUAAUCCAUCACACUGCAGCCAAAAUCUGAAAUAUUGUGGUAUGUAAAUCAUAGUGUCUAUGAUAACGUUGAACUAAAUGGGAAUUGUGAAAUGAGCAUCAACACCACCUUUUUUCUUCUUACGUACAGUUAAUCGAAAUGCGACAUACCCCACAGUAAGAAUUCAAACCAAUAGGAAGCAUAAUAAACCAUGUAACACAGGCUAUUUACUUGGAAAUAUAGUGAUUUUAUGUUAUACAUUUUGAAUUUGCUAUAAAUUCGUGUUUUUCAUGCUUGGUAUUUGUAAUGAAACCAUUAAAAGAGGUAUAAACUAUAAAAUCAAUCACUAGUUUGCAGGGCAACCGUCAACUAUUACGCCCUUUGCUGUUGGGCAAACUGCCAGUGGACAAUGUUCACCAUCAUUUCCC
rnacentral:lncRNA from 1 species